rnacentral:rRNA from 1 species
CCUACGGGUGGCAGCAGUGGGGAAUAUUGGGCAAUGGGCGCAAGCCUGACCCAGCAACGCCGCGUGAAUGAAGAAGGCUUUCGGGUUGUAAACUUCUUUUCUCAGGGACGAAGAAAGUGACGGUACCUGAGGAAUAAGCCACGGCUAACUACGUGCCAGCAGCCGCGGUAAUACGUAGGUGGCAAGCGUUAUCCGGAUUUAUUGGGUGUAAAGGGCGUGUAGGCGGGAGCGCAAGUCAGAUGUGAAAACCCAGGGCUCAACCCUGAGCCUGCAUUUGAAACUGUGUUUCUUGAGUGCUGGAGAGGCAAUCGGAAUUCCGUGUGUAGCGGUGAAAUGCAUAGAUAUUAGGAGGAACACCAGUGGCGAAGGCGGUCUGCUGGACAGCAACUGACGGUGAGGCGCGAAAGCGUGGGGAGCAAACAGGAUUAGAUACCCCUGUAGUC